GCCUUCGUGGCUCAGCUGGUUAGAGCGCCGGUCUCAUAUCAAAAGCGUCCUGUGCACCCGGGUACCGUCAAUAACCAUGUGAUCACUUCCCCUCCGAAGGGAGUGAGUCAUCCGGAGAUCGCCAGUUCGAUCCUGGCCGAGGGCA
rnacentral:tRNA from 1 species